AAGAGAGAGAGAGCGGAGGAAGGAAGAAGAAGAAGGCGCAUUCAUUUCCAUUUCCAUUUCUCGCUGUUCUCUCUCUUUUUGGUCUCUUUCUCUUUUCUCUUUCUUUCUUUCU
rnacentral:ribozyme from 14 species